rnacentral:lncRNA from 1 species
UAUGUCAUUUCGAAUUUAUCUUUCAAAGAAAUAGUAAAAAAGAAGUGUAAUAACUUCGCUAACGUUGUUUCAGAGAAGUAUUUAACGUUUCAUAUUUUCAUAGAUUGCACUCAAUAUUUUCAGAUUUUUAUAGCCUUUUCAAACAAAAAUUACCGAUGAGGAUUACACAAUCUUCUCACAUUUAGAUCUAAGAUAAGAAGCCCUUUCAAAAGAAAAUUACCUAUGAGGAUUACAGAAUCUUUUCACCUUUAGAUCUCAUAUAAGAAGGAGAAUGUACUAUUCUGCUGUUUUAUUUUCUCUAUUUUUCGCCUAUAUGGAAACAACUCUGGCUUUUAAAUGCAAACAAAACUGUGCUGCUGUGCGAUGUGCUGCGCCAAUGUGUAAACGAAAUGAGGAAGCAAAAUAUGUUGGUUGUAGUUGCUGUAAAACUUGUAUAAAAGUGUUAGGGAAGGGUGAAAACUGUGCAAACAGACUUCGUCCAAUGGCUCUUCCUGCUUUGCCCUUUGGUGGACAGACUGAUGCUCCAAGAGUUCCUAAUAAUCAGCCUAGGUGUCUGGAAGGCCUUUAUUGUCACCCAAUUACUCAUAAGUGUACACGGACAUUUUAAUACAUUAUAUGAAUGAAGAAAUUGAUUUGUAUUCAAAAACCUCAUUGUUUUACUUACAUUGUUUUACAAAUAUCAUAUAUGUGAGUUAUUUCUUUUCCAAUUUCCGACAAACUAUGUAUAUGUUGCUGUGAAUGACCAAAAUUGGUAAUUGUUGACUUCCACCUGUGAAUGUUAACAAUCACAUAGUCACUUUAGUAAAUGUGCGAAAUAAAUAGCAGGUGUAGUUGAGUGCUACUCUCCAGUAUGCAAUUACCCGAUAUGCUCUACAUUAAUGUUUUUUUUUUCUUUAAGUUCAGUGCCACUACUAGGUAUACAUUUGAACGAUACUCCGAACACCAAUGUUUUUACUAAAUUUACCUCAAGAUAUAUUAAAAUAUCAAAUUAAUAUACUAAUAUCAACGAAUAAAUUAAUGUCAAAUCGGUUAAAACAAGUAUUUCGGACAUUCAUCGAAGCUACUAUGUGAUUGUUGACAUUCACCGGUGACAAUCGACAUUCUCUUGAGUUCGGUCAUUUCGCUUAUGAUUUGUACUUUGUCAAUAAAAAUUACUUA